rnacentral:rRNA from 1 species
AUUGAACGCUGGCGGCAUGCUUUACACAUGCAAGUCGAACGGUAACAGGCCUUCGGGUGCUGACGAGUGGCGAACGGGUGCGUAAUGCAUCGGAACGUACCCAGAGGUGGGGGAUAACGCAGCGAAAGCUGUGCUAAUAUCGCCUGUGAUCUGAGGCUGCCAGCGGGGGACCGAGCAGCAAUGUUUGGCCUCGCGCCUUUGGAGCGGCCGAUGUCGGAUUAGCUAGUUGGCGGGGUAAAGGCCUACCAAGGCGACGAUCCGUAGCUGGUCUGAGAGGACGACCAGACACACUGUGACAGAGACACGGCCCAGACUCCUACGGGAGGCAGCAGUGGGGAAUUUUGGACAAUGGGCGCAAGCCUGAUCCAGCAAUACCGCGUGCGGGAAGAAGGCCUUCGGGUUGUAAACCGCUUUUGGCAGGAACGAAACAGUGUCCGCUAAUACCGGGCGCUAAUGACGGUACCUGCAGAAUAAGCACCGGCUAACUACGUG